AGGAUUAACGCUGGCGGCGUGCCUAACACAUGCAAGUCGAACGAGGUAGCAAUACCUAGUGGCAGACGGGUGAGUAACGCGUGGUCAACCUACCGUUGAGUGGGGGAUAACUAGCCGAAAGGUUAGCUAAUACCGCAUACGAGUCUUGGGGGCAUCCCUGGGACUUAAAAGGAGCAAUCCGCUCGAUGACGGGACCGCGUCCCAUUAGCUAGAUGGUGGGGUAACGGCCUACCAUGGCACCGAUGGGUAGCUGGUUUGAGAGAGCGACCAGCCACACUGGGACUGAGAAACGGCCCAGACUCCUACGGGAGGCAGCAGUGAGGAAUUUUCCGCAAUGGGCGAAAGCCUGACGGAGCGACGCCGCGUGUGGGAAGAAGGCCUUCGGGUCGUAAACCACUGUCGAAGGGGACGAUAAUGACGGUACCCUUGGAGGAAGCCCGGCUAACUACGCGCCAGCAGCCGC
rnacentral:rRNA from 1 species